AGUUUGAUCAUGGCUCACAACGAACGCUGGCGGCGUGCUUAUCACAUGCAAGUCUAACGCGAAAGGGACUUCAGUCCUGAGUAAAGUGGCGCACGGGUGAGUAACGCGUGGAUAAUCUACCCGAUGGACCGGGAUAACAUUUCGAAAGGGGUGCUAAUACCGGAUAAGACCACGGCUUCUUAAGGGGCUGCGGUAAAAGGUGGGGACCUUCGGGCCUACCGUCAUCUGAUGAGUCCGCGUACCAUUAGCUAGUUGGUAGGGUAAGAGCCUACCAAGGCGACGAUGGUUAGCUGGUCUGACAGGAUGAUCAGCCACACUGGAACUGAGACACGGUCCAUACUCCUACGGGAGGCAGCAGUGGGGAAUUUUGCGCAGUGGGGGAAACCCUGACGCAGCAACGCCGCGUGAGUGAUGAAGGCCCUCGGGUCGUAAAGCUCUGUCAGAGGGGAAGAAAUGCAGGGGUGCUAAUAUCAUCUUUGCUUGACGGUACCCUCAGAGGAAGCACCGGCUAACUCCGUGCCAGCAGCCGCGGUAAUACGGAGGGUGCGAGCGUUGUUCGGAAUUAUUGGGCGUAAAGCGCGUGUAGGCGGUUUGGUAAGUCUGAUGUGAAAGCCCCGGGCUCAACCUGGGAAGUGCAUUGGAAACUGUCAGACUUGAAUACGGGAGAGGGUAGUGGAUUUCUGAGGGGAAGGACUGAAAUCCGUAGAUAUUAGAAGAACACCGGUGGCGAAGCGGCUACCUGGACCGAUAUUGACGCUGAGACGCGAAAGCGUGGGGAGCAAACAGGAUUAGAUACCCUGGUAGUCCACGCCGUAACGGUGGAGUACUAGUGUUGCGGGUAUUGACCCCUGCAGUGCCGCAGCUAACGCCAUUAGUACUCCCGCCUGCGAGUACGACCGCAAG
rnacentral:rRNA from 1 species